rnacentral:lncRNA from 1 species
UUCCUUGCACUUGGCUUAUCCAAUAAAUCAAUUGGACUUGAUCCAAUCAAGCCCAAAUCAAAUCUAAUUAAAUUAUAUUUAAUUAGACUUAAUCUCAGCCCAUUGGUUUAAUCAAAUUAAGCCAAUUAGCAAUCAAAUUGCUAAUCGAUCCUCCUGCAACACUUGCACUAGGUUAAAUAUCAAUCGUAUUGAUCAUUUAAUCCUAGAACGAUUCUUAAUCGUUGAUCAACCAUCUGAUCGGAUCAU